rnacentral:tRNA from 1 species
CCGUAGCUCAGUUGGAUAGAGUGUCGGCCUCCGAAGCCGAAAGUCACAGGUUCGAAUCCUGUCGGGC